UUGUACCUGUUUUCAUAGCAACCAUGAUCACUAUCUAAUUUUUAAAUAUAUGUUCUUGAAUAUGUUAUAUAGAUGGUCCAUUCAGGUGAGUUUCGUGAAAAUCGGUGACUAUGCGUGCCAAAUUUUUUUAAGUGGUUACAGAGAAUGGCUCUUAACAUAUUGAUAUCCUCUUCCACUUGAUAUGUAAAAAUAUGAUUAUUAAAUUUAAGGACUUUACAGGAAGUAUAUUCAAUAUAUUUAAAAAUUAUCACCCCAGUUAAAAUUCAAAUGCUGAAUAUGUGUAAACAAUGGAUGUAGAGUAUUUACUUUUUGUAUGCUAUAGCCGAGAUUAAGACACAUUGUGAUCAUAGAGAGAGACAAGGUCAUCAGUGCUGCCCUGGAUAAUUCUUUAACCAGCCUGUACAGGAGUGUCAAAGCAGGACAGAUAGUUUCACGACAUUAUUUGAACUAACGUUUUAUAUCUUGGAAACUGAAUUAAAUUUUCAUUAAUGUCAUUA